rnacentral:rRNA from 1 species
AGCGGCGGACGGGUGAGUAAUGCCUGGGAAAUUGCCCUGAUGUGGGGGAUAACCAUUGGAAACGAUGGCUAAUACCGCAUAAUAGCUUCGGCUCAAAGAGGGGGACCUUCGGGCCUCUCGCGUCAGGAUAUGCCCAGGUGGGAUUAGCUAGUCGGUGAGGUAAUGGCUCACCAAGGCGACGAUCUCUAGCUGGUCUGAGAGGAUGAUCAGCCACACUGGAACUGAGACACGGUCCAGACUCCUACGGGAGGCAGCAGUGGGGAAUAUUGCACAAUGGGCGCAAGCCUGAUGCAGCCAUGCCGCGUGUAUGAAGAAGGCCUUCGGGUUGUAAAGUACUUUCAGCAGUGAGGAAGGUGGGUAUGUUAAUAGCAUAUUCAUUUGACGUUAGCUGCAGAAGAAGCACCGGCUAACUCCGUGCCAGCAGCCGCGGUAAUACGGAGGGUGCGAGCGUUAAUCGGAAUUACUGGGCGUAAAGCGCAUGCAGGUGGUUUGUUAAGUCAGAUGUGAAAGCCCGGGGCUCAACCUCGGAAUUGCAUUUGAAACUGGCAAA